rnacentral:rRNA from 1 species
UGGGUUGGACCUGCCCGGUGAUUAGUCAAGUUUUGAAGUUAAUUAAAAAUUUUUUUAAACGGCUGCAAUUAGUAAUUGUGCUAAGGUAGCGUAAUCAUUUGCCCCUUAAUUAGGGGAAGGUAUGAAUGGUUUGACGUGGGAAAAGCUGUCUCUUUUGUAAAAGAAGAAGUUUAUUUUUGAGUGAAAAAGCUUAGAUAUUUAUAAAAGACGAGAAGACCCUAUCGAACUUGAAUUAUGUAUUUAUAUACAAAAAGUUUAGUUGGGGAAACUUAAAGUUAAAAAGAACGCUUUUUUAAAUGAUCCUAUAUUAUAGAAAAAUGAAAAAGUUACCGUAGGGAUAACAGCGCUUUCUUCUCUGAGAGGACUAAUUAAAGAGUUGGUUGCGACCUCGAUGUUGGAUUAAGGUUUCUUUUUGGGGUAGGAGUUAAAAUAGUAAAACUGUUCGUUUU